CUGAGUACAGUUUUUAAACUCUCUCUUCCUAGUAUACAUACAUAUUUGUGUGUAUCUAGCAGCUAUCAUGGAACUAAUUGGAGUUCAGUUCUUUUAUCUCCAGAUGGAGCACAAUAAAUCUGAAGACAAAAGGCUUUAUAGGGAGCUAUUUUUUUUACCAAGUGCCAUGUUCUACAGAAAGUUGUAGUUGGAUGCUGCAGACUCACAGAGAAAAGCCAACUGGUUGUAGGACUCUGAGGUUCCUUCUGCAGAUUCCAUUCAAGAAUGAAGUAUGCUUCUCAGUUACUACCCCAGCGCUUGUCAGAUAUUAGUCUAAUCUCUGAAGUGAGGCUACAAAAUUGAGGUGGAUUGGAAGAGUUGAGAUGGAGUCAAGUUUUUUGCUUGUACUUGCAAAUCAGAACCAUAUAUUUCUCAGAUUUAGUAGCAGUCAUUUCAUCUUAGACAUCUUAUGAUGAUGAUGUUGGUAAUCUGGUUAGACUCGGAUAUGAAAUACAGUAAUUAACUGAUUUACACAAAGCCAUGUUCUCCCAUUUAUGAAUUGUUGUAUGGAA